ACCCGCUGAACUUAAGCAUAUCAAUAAGCGGAGGAAAAGAAACCAACAGGGAUUGCCCUAGUAACGGCGAGUGAAGCGGCAACAGCUCAAAUUUGAAAUCUGGCGUCUUUGGCGUCCGAGUUGUAAUUUGCAGAGGGCGCUUUGGCAUUGGCAGCGGUCCAAGUUCCUUGGAACAGGACGUCACAGAGGGUGAGAAUCCCGUACGUGGUCGCUAGCCUUUACCGUGUAAAGCCCCUUCGACGAGUCGAGUUGUUUGGGAAUGCAGCUCUAAAUGGGAGGUAAAUUUCUUCUAAAGCUAAAUACUGGCCAGAGACCGAUAGCGCACAAGUAGAGUGAUCGAAAGAUGAAAAGCACUUUGGAAAGAGAGUUAAAAAGCACGUGAAAUUGUUGAAAGGGAAGCGCUUGCAGCCAGACUUGCCUGUAGUUGCUCAUCCGGGUUUUUACCCGGUGCACUCUUCUAUAGGCAGGCCAGCAUCAGUUUGGGCGGUUGGAUAAAGGUCUCUGUCAUGUACCUCUCUUCGGGGAGAACUUAUAGGGGAGACGACAUGCAACCAGCCCGGACUGAGGUCCGCGCAUUUGCUAGGAUGCUGGCGUAAUGGCUGU
rnacentral:rRNA from 1 species